rnacentral:rRNA from 1 species
UACGUAGGUGACAAGCGUUGUCCGGAUUUACUGGGCGUAAAGAGUGCGUAGGCGGUUCUUUGUGUCCGCUGUGAAAGCCCGGGCUUAACCCUGGGAAUGGCAGUGGAAACUAGAGAACUUGAAUCUGGCAGAGGGGGGUGGAAUGCCACGGUGGUAGCAGGUGAAAUGCGUAGAUAUGAUGGCGGAACACCGAUGGCGAAGGCAGCCCCUGGGCUGAGAUUGACGCUCAGGCACGAAGCGUGGGAGCAAACAGGA